AGCAGCCGCGGUAAUUCCAGCUCCAAUAGCGUAUAUUAAAGUUGUUGCGGUAAAAAAGCUCGUAGUUGGAUUUCUGUUGAGGGCGUCCGGUCCGUACCACGUACGCGUAUCUGGGUCGCGCUCGGCAUCCUCUCGAAGAACGGUUCUCGCGCUUGAUUGCGUGGUCCGGGUUUCGGGACUUUUACUUUGAGGAAAUUAGAGUGUUCACGGCAGGCAAUUGCCCGGAUACAUUAGCAUGGAAUAAUACUAUAGGAUUUUGGUUCUAUUUUGUUGGUUUCUAGGACUAAAAUAAUGAUUAAUAGGGACAAUUGGGGGCAUUCGUAUCAACACGCUAGAGGUGAAAUUCUUGGAUUGUGUUGCGACGAACUACUGCGAAAGCAUUUGCCAAGGAUGUUUUCAUUGAUCAAGAACGAAAGUAAGGGGAUCGAAGAUGAUUAGAUACCGUCGUAGUCUUUACCACAAACUAUGCCAACUAGAGAUGGGGCAUCGUUCAAUACGACUUGCUCCGCACCUUAUGAGAUAUCAAAGUCUUUGGGUUCCGGGGGGAGUAUGGUCGCAAGUCUGGAACUUAAAGGAAUUGACGGAAGGGCACCACCAGGAGUGGAGCCUGCGGCUUAAUUUGACUCAACACGGGGAAACUCACCAGGUCCAGACAUAAUAAGGAUUGACAGAUUGAUAGCUCUUUCUUGAUUUUAUGGGUGGUGGUGCAUGGCCGUUCUUAGUUCGUGGAGUGAUUUGUCUGCUUAAUUGCGUUAACGAACGAGACCUUAACCUGCUAAAUAGGAGCGUCUAUCUUCGGAUAAGCGCCUUUCUUCUUAGAGGGACUUUGUGCGUUUCAGCAUGAGGAAGUUUGAGGCUAAAACAGGUCUGUGAUGCCC
rnacentral:rRNA from 1 species